GUGUAUCUAGCGGGUUUGUAAAGAAAUGUCCAUAAGACGAGGAGAUCGGAGAAAUUUCCUUAAGAUGAGGAGAUCAGAGUGGAGAUCACUGCUACUCACCGCAGUGGGAUUCGCAGUCGGAGGAGGGCGAUGUCGUUGUGAUGUGGCCCCCUGCUUACCGAGGUGAUGCUGUCGUUAUGGGACUCGCCCAGGCGCACACUCUUCAGCACCAGGUCAUUGUGCGUCAAGUAGCCACCGAUCACGCAGUGGGCAGCGGUCAGCACAUAGCGACUGUUGAUCAGCGAGCCCACACAACCCGUUCGCUGAUUCCACGUCAAGGAGAGCCGAUUCUCAUAUAGCAGCAGUACCAUCCAAGGGUACUCCUUGAGCUCUGCGUUCUCGGCACCCCGAAAUCCGAGCACUGGAGUCGUUUUUCCACAGGUCUGUUUGCUGGGCAAGACGUCACCCAACUCUGGGCAGCAGACAUAAACCAUGUGCAACAACUCGCGUCCAUUGGGGUCCAGGCCACACUGCCUGUUUGCAAACACAUCUUUCUCCGCCUGGGUCAUGCCCCGGGGCUUUAGGAUGUUCAUAAGCGGCGAGCAGCUAACCAGUCUGGUGCAUUUCUCCUCUUUUUGGCAGCUUGAUAACCGAACUAUAAAUUACAAAAAGAGGUACAUGUAAGCCCCGAAUUCUGAGUGUAUUGACUUUUACAAUAAAGUAAAUAUUAUUUUUUAUUUUUAUAA